ACAACAUGAGGACCGUCGGUCUAUGGAGCAAUAUCACCCGCUUAUCGGAAGAUUUUCCCUUAGUCUG
rnacentral:pre_miRNA from 1 species